GAUGCAAGUCGAACGUGAUUCGGUAGCAAUAUCGAUGAAAGUGGCGAACGGGUGAGUAACACGUAGAUAACCUGCCUCGAAGCGGGGGAUAACGACUGGAAACGGUCGCUAACACCGCAUGGGACUGAGAUAGCGGGAGCUAUUUUAGUGAAAACUCAGGUGCUUCGAGAGGGGUCUGCGGCCGAUUAGCUAGUUGGUGGGGUAAAGGCCUACCAAGGCGACGAUCGGUAGCUGGUCUGAGAGGACGAUCAGCCACACGGGAACUGAGAAACGGUCCCGACUCCUACGGGGGGCAGCAGUGAGGAAUAUUGGGCAAUGGGCGCAAGCCUGACCCAGCAACGCCGCGUGGAGGAAUGAAGGCCUUCGGGUUGUAAACUCCUUUUACGGGGGAAGAGGAAGGACGGUACCCCGAGAAUAAGUCACGGCUAACUACGUGCCAGCAGCCGCGGUAAUACGUAGGUGACAAGCGUUAUCCGGAAUUACUGGGCGUAAAGCGCACGCAGGCGGCGCGCUAAGUCUGACGUGAAAUCUCUCGGCUUAACCGGGAGGGGUCGUUGGAGACUGGCGAGCUUGAGGCGAUGAGAGGGGUGUAGAAUUCCCGGUGUAGUGGUGGAAUGCGUAGAUAUCGGGAGGAAUACCAGUGGCGAAAGCGGCACCCUGGCAUUAGCCUGACGCUCAUGUGCGAAAGCGUGGGGAGCGAACGGGAUUAGAUACCCCGGUAGUCCACGCUGUAAACGAUGAGUACUAGGUGUGGGGCGAGUGAAAUCGUUCUGUGCCGAAGCAAACGCGCUAAGUACUCCGCCUGGGGAGUACGGCCGCAAGGCUAAAACUCACAGGAAUUGACGGGGGCCCGCACAAGCAGCGGGAGCGUGUGCUUUAAUUUCGAUGCGACACGAAG
rnacentral:rRNA from 1 species